UUAGCUUAGUUGGUCAGAGCAGACGGCUCAUAACCGUCCGGUCGUAGGUUCGAGUCCUA
rnacentral:tRNA from 1 species